rnacentral:rRNA from 1 species
UACGUAGGGUGCGAGCGUUGUCCGGAAUUAUUGGGCGUAAAGGGCUCGUAGGCGGUUUGUCGCGUCAGGAGUGAAAACUCGGGGCUUAACCCCGAGCCUGCUUCUGAUACGGGCAGACUAGAGGUAUGCAGGGGAGAACGGAAUUCCUGGUGUAGCGGUGAAAUGCGCAGAUAUCAGGAGGAACACCGGUGGCGAAGGCGGUUCUCUGGGCAUUACCUGACGCUGAGGAGCGAAAGCGUGGGGAGCGAACAGG